UACGUAGGUGGCGAGCGUUGUCCGGAUCUACUGGGUGUAAAGGGCGUGUAGCCGGGUUGACAAGUCAGAUGUGAAAUCCUGCGGCUUAACCGCAGAACUGCAUUUGAAACUGUUGAUCUUGAGUACUGGAGAGGCAGACGGAAUUCCUAGUGUAGCGGUGAAAUGCGUAGAUAUUAGGAGGAACACCAGUGGCGAAGGCGGUCUGCUGGACAGCAACUGACGGUGAGGCGCGAAAGCGUGGGGAGCAAACAGG
rnacentral:rRNA from 1 species